rnacentral:rRNA from 1 species
UACGGGGGGGGCAAGCGUUGUUCGGAAUUACUGGGCGUAAAGGGCGCGUAGGCGGCUUACAUAGUCAGGCGUGAAAUUCCUGGGCUCAACCUGGGGGCUGCGUUUGAUACGUGUAGGCUUGAGUUCGGAAGAGGGUCGUGGAAUUCCCAGUGUAGAGGUGAAAUUCGUAGAUAUUGGGAAAAACACCGGUGGCGAAGGCGGCGACCUGGUCCGAAACUGACGCUGAGGCGCGAAAGCGUGGGGAGCGAACAGG